ACACGUGCUCCGGGGUCGGUGCAAUUCCGAGCCGGCGGUGACAGUCCGCGACCCGCGAGGUCCUCUCGAGGACCGGACGGUUGACCUGGUGGAACUCCGGGACCGACGGUGAAAGUCCGGAUGGGAGGAGACGUGG
rnacentral:ncRNA from 2 species